UUUUUUAUUUCUAUAAUAGCAUUUAGAAAUAAAAUUGUUUCAACUCAUGUUUUUUUCUGUAUAAUGAAUAUUGCUAUUUUAGAAGAAUACAUUAGAGUAUAUUUCAUCUCUACUAUAAAAAAAAUAUUUUAAAGAAAAAAAUAACAAAAUACAUUGGAGAUAGUCUAAAAAUACAAAAACAAACAAAAGAGAGAGAGAGAGUCAUGCACCGUCAUCUCUUUUUGUAGUGGGAAAUUUUCACAAAUAUCAUAUUCAUAGUACCAUUUUCAUGUUUACACUAACCACUUUAAUGAAGAAUUAAAAACACUAAUAUCCCUAGGGUUAACUAACCUGUAUUUAGGGUUUAGAGUAGAGGGGUGGAGUAGAAUUUUUGGAAUGUGAAAUUUAAGAUUCUAAUAAUUAUUUAAAUAAAUACUUAAAAAUAUAUAUUUUUUUUAAAUAGUUUCAAACAUAAUUUCGAUCAAAAAAAUAAAAAAAAAAUAGAAAAAUAUUCGAAUUUGAAAAAGUAUAAUUCGAAAACAUAAAAAAAAAAUUAUUUUUUAUUAUUUAUUUAAAUAAUGAGUUAUUAUAUAUAUAUAGGUAUAAAAUUCUUUUGUAACUUAAUGAAUAAAGUAUUUUUAAAAAUGUAUUUUUAGUGGUGGUAAAGAUGAAAAGUGAUACCAUAAAAAAUU
rnacentral:lncRNA from 1 species